UGCCACUUGUCAUUUCUGAUUCAGUGGAGAGCGUUGAGAAAACAUCUGGCGCCAUCAAGGUGCUUAAGGAGAUUGGAGCUUUUCCUGACGCUGAAAAGGCUAAGGAUAGUCAUGCGAUCCGGCCUGGUAAAGGUAAAAUGAGGAACCGGCGGUACAUUUCCCGCAAGGGUCCCCUGAUUGUCUAUGGGACCGAGGGAGCCAAGCUUGUCAAGGCUUUUAGGAACAUUCCAGGAGUUGAGGUGGCGAAUGUAGACCGCUUAAAUCUGUUGAAGUUGGCACCUGGUGGCCAUCUUGGGCGUUUUGUUAUUUGGACCAAGUCUGCUUUCGAGAAGCUGGACUCGAUCUAUGGCUCUUUUGAGAAACCCUCAGAUAAGAAGAAGGGUUAUGUGCUCCCCAGAUCUAAGAUGGUUAAUGCUGAUCUGGCUAGAAUCAUCAACUCUGAUGAGGUGCAGUCAACGGUGAAGCCUAUCAAAGAAGGGGUUAAG
rnacentral:lncRNA from 1 species